CCUACGGGAGGCAGCAGUGAGGAAUAUUGGUCAAUGGACGAGAGUCUGAACCAGCCAAGUAGCGUGAAGGAUGACGGCCCUAUGGGUUGUAAACUUCUUUUAUAAAGGAAUAAAACGAGGUACGUGUGCCUCUUUGCAUGUACUUUAUGAAUAAGGAUCGGCUAACUCCGUGCCAGCAGCCGCGGUAAUACGGAGGAUCCGAGCGUUAUCCGGAUUUAUUGGGUUUAAAGGGAGCGUAGAUGGGGUGUUAAGUCAGUUGUGAAAGUUUGCGGCUCAACCGUCAAAUUGCAGUUGAUACUGGCAGGCUUGAGUACAGUUGAGGUAUGCGGAAUUCGUGGUGUAGCGGUGAAAUGCUUAGAUAUCACGAAGAACCCCGAUUGCGAAGGCAGCUUACCGGACUGUAACUGACGUUGAUGCUCGAAAGUGUGGGUAUCAAACAGGAUUAGAUACCCUAGUAGUC
rnacentral:rRNA from 1 species